GCCCGUCUAGCUCAGUGGUAGUAGCGUCGCACUUGUAAUGCGAAGGUCAUUGGUUCAAUCCCAGUGUCGGGCA